AUUGAACGCUGGCGGCAUGCUUUACACAUGCAAGUCGAACGGUAACAGGUUAAGCUGACGAGUGGCGAACGGGUGAGUAAUGCAUCGGAACGUGCCCGGUCGUGGGGGAUAACGCAGCGAAAGCUGCGCUAAUACCGCAUACGAUCUGAGGAUGAAAGCGGGGGACCGUAAGGCCUCGCGCGAUCGGAGCGGCCGAUGUCAGAUUAGGUAGUUGGUGGGGUAAAGGCUCACCAAGCCAACGAUCUGUAGCUGGUCUGAGAGGACGACCAGCCACACUGGGACUGAGAGACGGCCCUGACUCCGACGGAAGGCAGCAGUGGGGAAGUUUGGACAAUGGGCGAAAGGCUGAUCCAGCAAUGCCGGGUGCAGGAAGAGGGCCUUCGGGUGGUAAACUGCUUUUGUACGGGGCGAAAAGGUCUCCUCUGAUACAGGGGGCUCAUGACGGUACCGUAAGAAUAAGCACCGGCUAACUACGUGCCAGCAGCCGCCGUAA
rnacentral:rRNA from 1 species